AAUUUUGGACAAUGGGCGAAAGCCUGAUCCAGCAAUGCCGCGUGCAGGAUGUAGGCCCUCGGGUUGUAAACUGCUUUUGUACGGAACGAAAAGACCUUUUCUAAGAAAGAGGUUCCAUGACGGUACCGAAAGAAUAAGCACCGGCUCACUACGUGCCAGCAGCCGCGGUAAUACGUAGGGUGCAAGCGUUAAUCGGAAUUACUGGGCGUAAAGCGUGCGCAGGCGGUUAUGUAAGACAGAGGUGAAAUCCCCGGGCUCAACCUGGGAACGGCCUUUGUGACUGCAUAGCUAGAGUACGGUAGAGGGGGAUGGAAUUCCGCGUGUAGCAGUGAAAUGCGUAGAUAUGCGGAGGAACACCGAUGGCGAAGGCAAUCCCCUGGACCUGUACUGACGCUCAUGCACGAAAGCGUGGGGAGCAAAC
rnacentral:rRNA from 1 species